UAGGUGCUUAUCAUCAUCAUGGCUUAUGAUUAUCUCAUCUCUAUAUCUUAUCUUAUCUUAUCUUAUAUAAUACAGCAUGUUGGAAUGGAUUUUUUGAAAGCCUUCAAAAUGAAACAUAUUUAGACUUAUGAAUAAGAUUCUAAUGGGAAUAUUAAUGUUUCAGCUGUAGAAUAUGGAUAUAAAUAAUGAUUGGAAUAGAGAUGUAAUUCUGCUGUGUCCCCGUGAGUUGGAAACCAGUAAGCAAGUCUUCUAAUAGAGGUCUGAUAGAGUCAUGUACAUCAAGCGAUCAGCACUAAAAGAUGUGGACCUGAUGUGGUGUCAAGAUGAUGAAGCUUUUGCUUUCUUCUUUUGGCUGUUCGUUUAACACAAGACAAAGCACAGACUGAUCGUCAUACCAUUUUAAGAUCCUGGGAUGUGAAAGACUUUGCACCGGACUGUCGUCAGUAUCUUUACCUCUUCCAUGCCGGCAAUAAAAUACAUCUGAAACUUGUUGGGGAGACUAACGCUCUGAAAACAAUAAAUUGGGAAAAAAAGAUUUGAAUGCUGGGACAAGAAGCCCCUGGAUGAGGCUGCCAAGUGAUUGGUUCAAAUUUCACACAGUUCAGGCCAAACUCUUAGGCCCUUACUCAAAUAGAGUAAUGUUAUUAAUAUAUUUACAUUUUGACAUCAAAGUUUGUACUUCACCGAUCAUAUUGUGCGUAAAGAUGGGUUAGGUUAGAUGAGUUCAGCUUUGCCUUGUUAGCCAACAACUGUCUGUAUCCUGGACUGUCCACACUUGUAUUAUUGCUGGUACACUUUCAGCAGUGAGCCAUGGCAGCAGACGUAUAGAAGGCAUGCUGGGAAUGAAAUUCAUCACAUACAGCUGCAAAAAAUAUUUUCAUUGGUAAUUAUGUGGGCUGCACAAGCCUCAGCUGAUGCUCACCAAAGAACUGAGGCAAAUCUUUUUCGCUGUCCAUACCUUUCUUGGUUACCAUUUCUUUACAUAGUGUGUACAUCUGGAACCUGUCGUGAAUUGUCCAUAAAAAUAACACUUGGUAUAUGAUUGUCCUGCAGGACCAAGCCAGCUCAGACGUCGUUGUCUGAGGAUUGUAAAGAUAUUUGGAAGACCAAUUUUAUCAAGUAACUUUAUAAAUGUUAUAAUAUCAUUAGCUCUUGGAAAUCCUAUGCCGAACUGGGAGUCGAACACUUAGUGAGGUUGUGACUGAACGUCGCAUGAGGUUUGCGGGACAUGUUCUACGUCAAAAUGAAUUACGCACACCAAGAGUUGCGAUAACAUGGAAGCCAAAACAAGGAAAGCGCAAACAGGGACGUCCUCGUAUUACCUGGCGACACACCUUCAUGGAGGACCUCAGAACAGUGGACACCAGGUGGGAGGAGGCUUCAGACAUUACCAGUGACAGAUCAUUAUGGAGACAGCUUGCCGCCCAAUGCGCCGAACGGCGCCGGAGGACCUAUGUCUAAAAUGUUGAGUCAGAUAUUGAAGCCAGAGCUUGUAUCUAAGUCAAAGACCACUAGUAUUUGACAGUGUUUACAGAGGACAAGAUGUCCCAGCUCAGUCCAAAAUUCAUAAAGACUGUGUCUCAGCGAAGCAUAAGAGUUGGUCUUGGAUUCAAACAGUCAAUGAAUGUUUAGGCAUUCAUAGUGAAAAUACUGCUAACUAUCAUCAGUUCUACCAUGCUGUUUGCCACCUGGAAGAAGACAUGCUUUCAUUCUUGCUUUGGAUGGACAGUUCAACAGCUAGAGCUCAAGUCAAGACUCAAGAUCCUGAUGUCAUGUUAAAACAUUUCAGUUUAAUAAACAAUUGUUGGACUAUCAGGGCUAGUUAGAUCUUCUUACAGAGCAAAGUUGAGAUAUUCACCCAGUUCAUCACCGCCAAGAACUGCCAGAAUGGCAUUUGAAGGCUAGAGCUCUUGUCCAAUAUCAGCACAAACAUGUGUCAUUAGCAAAAGGGGACUUUGUCAAGAUUUUGGAAAAUUCUGAUGCUGAAAGAUGGAAGAUGGAAUAGAAAGUGAAGUCCCUGCUAUUGUGUUGGUCAUUCCUUCCUGCUUCCAACAGAUUGAUAAAUUAGAACAAAUCAAGGUCAAUAGUUCUAUUUCUGCUGAUAAAUGGUCACAUUUAAUCCAGUUUUUAAGUGCUGCUAUUUCCCAGACACAGUUCAAAGAUGUGAUGAUGGAGUCAUAAACAGUAGGAUACAGAGGUGGAACAAAACUGGAGCUUUAGUUUGUUUGUUUGUAGAACUUGGCAUCUACUCCAGACAUUAUUUUGAAGAACACUCAAGUAAAAGAAAAGAAGAAAUGUUAAAGGUUAAGGACUUGGGCACCAAUCAUACUUACACUUCAAAAGCUUUAAUUUGAAAGGUCUUAUAUUUUUGUGGAAAUAAAUUUUACUAGUGGAGUUUUUGUAGCUGCCAGAGUGGAUCAAGGUGGAUGUGAUAUCUAUUUAUAAACAUGUAUACCAGUAUAUUGUAAUCAGUGAUUUUCAUUUUUUGGUAACAGUUUGUUUCCAUUUAGAUUGCAGUCUUUCUUAUGUGAAAACAAGAUGUCUGCAUAAUCUUAGAGGACAUUUUUAAACUCAUUUAAAUUUAUUAGAUGAAAUAUUUAUAAAACAUACAAUGUAAAUUGUUUUGUAAAAUGAUUAUACAUUUGAGUUCAUAAAAAUGUGUAAUUUUUUAAUGGCAUCAUGUUUCUGCUUAUCUGUAUCUGAUACUGAUGAUGUGUUUUCUAAAUCUAUUACUGCUUCACCAUUGAGGAAAAACUGCACAUGUUUAAACCCAUAUCUGAAGUAACUUUCCAGAAAAAAAAAAGAUGUAUGUUGGACAGUGUCCAAAAUUUCAAAUCAUUUCCUUCAAAAUGUUAUCAAUUUCCUCCAUAACUUCAUAACAUUAUUGAAUUUUUUCCUUCAGAACACAAUUGUAAAUUAUCUUUUUUUUUUUUUUUUUUUGUUAAACCACAAUGAGAGUCUAAUAACUAAUAGUCUAGCAAACAAUUACUUAUAAUUUGCCUUAUUAUUAUACAAUAUUAAGAUUUACUUCUGCAGGGAUGAAAAACUUUUUUUAAAAUACAAUAGACAUGUAUAAUAAUAAAGUACAUUCACACCUGACUCACUCAUAAUUUACAUGUGAAAAGUUUAUAUCAGAUUGUUUCUAUUUAAUGAUUUGAUUGCCAUCAGUGUCUUGUAUCUCUUUUGUGAUGGUAAAGUCACAAAAUGUAGGAAACCCCACUGUGUUUGGUCCAGUAUGUGGGUUAUUAUAUGUAAGUCUAUUGUAUUUUCUAUAUUAUUUUACAAAUGUAAAAAAAAUAAAAAGAAAUUGUUACACUGUU